AGUAACACGUGGGUAAUCUGCCCUCGAUUCUGGGAUAGCCCGGGGAAACCCGGAUUAAUACCAGAUAGCCUUCUGAGCCUUCGGGCGAGGAAGAAAAGGUAGCUUCGGCCUCCGAUCGAGGAUGAGCCCGCGGUGGAUUAGCUUGUUGGCGGGGUAAUGGCCCACCAAGGCGACGAUCCAUAGCUGGUCUGAGAGGACGAUCAGCCACACUGGGACUGAGACACGGCCCAGACUCC
rnacentral:rRNA from 1 species